UUUUUCUAAGCCUUUUGACAACGUUCAAAACUGCAAUUCCGUAGUUUCCUUUGGGUUUCAUAAACAACUUACUAAGAUUUCAUUUUGAUUUGUGUGACGUACUUACUGAUUUUUUUUGGUAUUCUAUGAUUACAUGCGUGAAAAAUGAAGAGGAACUUUAAUAAUUGAUUUGGAUUUUGAACCAAUUCAAAGUAGUUAGAUAUUUCGUGUGGUCAUGUUUUUAUAAAAAAACAAAAAAAAAACCACGUUUCUCACAAGGUUUUUAACAAGACUAGACUUGUAUUCAAGGUAAACUAGACUUGUACGUACAGUCACAGGAAACACAAUGGGUUUUUAUUUGGCUUUUGCUUGGUUUGUUUCAAACCCUAAAAAUGAGUAGUAUUUGACAAUUUGCACAACUUGAAUACAUGGAUUUUACCCCAAAAAAAAAAACUUGAAUACAUGGAGAAUGAGAAAUAAGUUAUACUGUAUUGUUUCUUCAAGAGGAUUCUUGGCGGUUUACUCAUAUAUAUGUUUCUUCGUAUGAGAAUCAAUAUGCAAUGAGAAGCACGUCGAGAAAGGUCGUUCAGUUGUCUAGACGUAGGAUGGCAAGUAGUGUGAAAUAAGGUUCUCCCUUCUGAAAUUCUCGAGUGCGAAAAAAAAAAACCGAAUCGUAAUACAGACUGUAGAGUGAGGUUCGAGCGAGAUACGGAGAGAUCAAAAACGGAAAUAGCAAGAGAAGCAACCAUUCUCAAGAGCUUGAGACCAACUUUCCGAUUCCAAUAUUCUACGGAUGUCCAGGUCGCCGCCGGCUGGGGCAUCGCCGCAUCGCCGCCGCCGCUACCGCCGUUUGGAUGGCCCAACCAUUUGAUCGGACAAAAGAAGACAAUCCUCGAGAAACUAGAAGUAGAGAACAAGUAACAAGUUACAGAGAUUUUACAAGAACAGAGGAAGGAGAGUUUUCAGAGUUUCCUUAGUGUAGAAUUUGUAAAAUUCUUAAACGCAUCUCAAGUUUAUUAUAUAUGUUGUUUAUAAAAUUCAGGGUUUGGAAAGUAGUUGAGCUGUAAUUGUGGAGCUUUGAGAGCUCUGUAAACUCAAGAACUCGUCUUUGCCUUUGGCUUCGUUAUGUAGAGACAAACACAAUUGAUAAGUAGGAAUUUGGACAUAACAUAUACAAGAUGCUCGAAGAGUCAUUUGUUUGUGAUCUAAAAUAAUCUCUU